UACGUAGGGAGCAAGCGUUGUCCGGAAUCAUUGGGCGUAAAGCGCGCGUAGGCGGCCUCAUAAGUCCGUUGUGAAAGUCAAAGGCUCAACCUUUGAAAGCCGAUGGAUACUGUGAGGCUAGAGUCCGGAAGAGGCGAGUGGAAUUCCUGGUGUAGCGGUGAAAUGCGCAGAUAUCAGGAGGAACACCAGCGGCGAAGGCGGCGCUCUGGGCCGGAACUGACGCUGAGGAGCGAAAGCGUGGGGAGCAAACAGG
rnacentral:rRNA from 1 species